CUGACUUGAAGCUGUCGGCUAGACCAGAUAAGCAUCAGGUAAUCAUUGGAGAUGAAAAUCACCUUAUGCUCAUAAUAAAUGCAAGAAAUGAAGGGGAAGGAGCAUAUGAAGCUGAACUCUUUGUAAUGAUACCAGAAGAGGCAGAUUAUGUUGGAAUCGAACGCAACAACAAGGUAAUGCCUGCAAAUUGUUUGAAGUCAAGAGCUAGGUAUAUUUUUGAAGUCAAGUAAAUGUUAAGAAGGGCCAUCUUAGCUGAGAGUUUCUUCCUUAAUGAAAGACAGCAAAAUGAUACCUUCUUUUGUUAAAUCAUAACAGCAAUGAGCCACAAAGCAGGGGUGGGCUUACACAGUAUUAAUGUCUUUCUUUGCCACAGUGCAAAGAUAGAUUGGCCAAAGAUUGAGAGCUAAAGCAAAAAAGAGAACAAGACUGGCUGAAAGAAGAAGCUUACCAAUGCGAUCAAAAAGCUAAACUCCCAAGCUAACUCCCUGUCUUCACUGACUUUUCUAGCCUUGCACUGAGUUCCUAUCAGUUUCAAGCACAUGUCAGGAAGCCUGGUUUUCGUUAUUGGUUAGGGAAGAAGGUCCAGCCAAUCCCUGAUGAGCACUGAUAAAAGCCUGGACCGACACAGGAAGGGAAACAAGGUCCUUUCCCUUUCUUCUUGGUCCACCUUGUCAGAAUUAUGACCAGGAACAGCCUGGUCUUCCUCAUUUGCCAUUCCUCAAUGCCACUAUUUGUUUAAAUGACAACAAUGCUAUUUAUAGUCUUCCCCUUCCUUAUCAGAACAUGAAUCUUCCCAUUCAAAGCAUCCUCCAGUUCUGCAGUGUCCUUAAUCACUUGGUCUAGAAAACUAUUAAAAAUACAUUGUAGAAUAACAGAGAAAGUCCCUCAGUGUCUGAAAUAUACAAACUCACAAUUAAGGGUAAAGCCCAAGUUUCACGUUUCCUUUCAUAGGAUGAGGUGUAGAGUAGGUGCUCCUUAAAUACUUGCUGAUAGCAUUGUUCAUUUAGCUUAAAUGUAUUAAAUGUCUACUAGUUUCCAAAUACCACACCCCCUGAGGACCUUGUCCAUUUUAAUGAUUGAAUAAUGUAAUGAAAAGUAAUUCUUCUAAACAGAUGUUAACAAACUGUUGUUGUGAUGUUGGUAUUUUAAAGGCAUUAAAAAACUUAGGGAAUAUAAAAUUCUCUAUUCACACUUCUAGUCUCAUGAUUUUUGUUUGUUUUAGUUGAACGAUCUUCUUAGUAAAAAACAAAAAAUUAAAAAAUCUAGAUGGGUAAUGAUAGAGCAUCUUUAACAGUCAUUUAAAAUCCUUGAGUAUCUGUUGAAGAAAUGUAUAAG
rnacentral:lncRNA from 1 species